UACGUAGGGUGCGAGCGUUAAUCGGAAUUACUGGGCGUAAAGCGUGCGCAGGCGGUUAUUUAAGUCAGGUGUGAAAGCCCCGGGCUCAACCUGGGAAUGGCGAUGGAUACUGGCUCGCUAGAGUGCGGUAGAGGAGAGUGGAAUUCCCGGUGUAGCAGUGAAAUGCGUAGAGAUCGGGAGGAACAUCAGUUGCGAAGGCGGCUCUCUGGACCAGCACUGACACUGAGGCACGAAAGCGUGGGGAGCAAACAGG
rnacentral:rRNA from 1 species